rnacentral:snRNA from 1 species
UUCGCUUCUUGGCCUUCUGGCUAAGAUCAAGUGUAGUAUCUGUUCUUAUCAGUUUAAAACUCAUGUUUUCAGAGUAUCCAAGAUUGGCCCAAGAAAUUAUAGUGGUAACAGCUAACACUAACAAUUUAAAUAUGC